rnacentral:lncRNA from 1 species
GCUAGAUGGUUACAUUGAUUGGUUCAAAAAUUUAUUUCUGUGCUAUCGGCUUAGGUUCGAACCUAUGGGGUUACACUCAAAAGUAGUUUCUAAUUGAUCAUGUGGCUGAACAAUGAUUGAAAAUCGUUCGAGGGCUUAAUCGUCAAUUCGAUUGAUCAUUAAUUUUAUGCAAAAAUUAUAAUAAAUUUAUUCACCAAGUAUUAAUAAAAUUAAUAAAAAAAUUAAUUAAUA